AGAGCAGAGUUUUUCUUUGCUCAAAGUCUAAGCACUGAAGAACUUCUUUUUAGUAGGUAGAUUUUUGUUUGUUUGUUUGUUUGUUUUUGAGACGGAGUCUCACUCUGUGGCCCAGGCUGUGGUGCAGUGGCGCGAUCUCGGCUCACUGCAAGCUCUGCCUCCCGGGUUCACACCAUUCUCCUGCCUCAGCCUCCCGAGUAGCUGGGACUACAGGUGCCAGCCACCACGCCUGGCUAAUUUUUUUGCAUUUUUUAGUAGAGAUGGGGUUUCAUCGUGUUAGCCAGGCUGGUCUUGAUCUCCUGACCUCAUGAUCCGCCCGCCUUGGCCUCCCAGAGUGCUGGGAUCACAGGCGUGAUUUAGUAGGUAGUUUUGAGUAGGGAGUAUACAUUUAAAAUGCUGAAACUCAGUUAAGGAAUAAUCUAAUACUGUAUUAAACUGAAACUCAGUUGAGAAAUUUCUUUCCAAUAAAAAGGAAAAUCAACUGCAGUAAUGAGGGAGAUGAUUCUGCUGAUAAUUACAACAAAUAUUUACCACAGACCUGUUAGGCACCAUGAACUGUACUAAAUAUUUUAUACAUAUAACUUUAUCUUGUGCUCCAACAACCUAUUACAUAGAAAUUGCUAUUAUUCCCAUUUUCUAGAUUAAUAAAUUGGUAUAGAGGGGUCGUAUAGGUGAAACAACUCACUCAAUAUCACAAGCUGUUAUGUGGUGAAGUUUGCAUGAUCAGUACAGGGUUCUGGUCGUCCCACUCAUUGAGUGGUGCUGGUCAAGAUCUGGAAGCUCUUCUGGUCUUAGUUUCUCUAGCUGUGAAGUGACAAUGAUUAGGUCUAAUCAUAGAACAUGAGAGUACAUGUGAAAAAAAUGCCUUUUUAAAGAGUAUGAAAAACUUGAGUUGUAAAAUUUUCUUGUGGAUAAUUUAUUAUUGCUUUUCUUUUUUAGAUAACACUAACAAAGUUGACCUUAGAAUUGGAGUGCCCGGGUUAGAACCUUGCUGGUACCACCUGCUUACUGCAUGCUUCUGAUGUGAGUUCAGGAGAAGCCACUGGCAAGGACAGCAAAGAACAGGAGAACACUCUAGCUUCCCUGAUAGCAUUCAAGGUGCUGUCCAAACUGACUGUGAUGGCACCCUCCAGACAGACAGCGAUGCCACAUGUUCAAGAUGGCAGAAUCACUAACAGCUUCAAUUCCUGAAUGACUGCAGAGCAAAAUUUCUUACCCGCAACAUACACUCUAUUUUCAGCCUCCCUGGACUGUUACAUAAUGAUACAUAAAAAUAUUUCUUGUGUUGAGGCAUCCCAAAUUUGAUCUAUUUGUCAUCACAGUUUAUCCUACGAAUAUAUUUCUGAUCCAAAUAAUGCUAGAUUCAUGAGAGUUUAUAGUCCAGAGAUUUUUUUUUUUUUUUUUUUUUGAGACAGAAUCUCACUGUCUGCCAGGCUGGGGUGCAGUGGCAUAAUCUUAGCUCACUGCAACCUCCGCCUCCUGGGCUCAAGUGAUCCUCCCUCCUUAGCCUCCAUGAAUAGCUGGGACCACAGGUGUGCACCACCCCACCCAGCUAAUUAUUUUGUAUUUUUUGCAGAGACGGGGUUUCACCACAUUGCCCAAGCUGGUCUCAAACUCCUAGACUUAAGGGAUCUUCCCGCCUUGGCCUCCCAAAAUGCUGAAAUUACAUGUGUUAGCCAUAGUAAUAGUUCCUAGCCAUAGUCCAGAGAUAUUUUAAAAACUUUAGUGUGAGUUAUUUCUCUUUGCUAUAAUUCUCUCAUGCAUUUUGAAAACCUUUUCUGCCAUACAGUGGUUUUUGGGAAGUCCUUUUGGACAGACAUAUCACAGGAUGGAGAAACUAAAAA
rnacentral:sRNA from 1 species